rnacentral:lncRNA from 1 species
GAGAGACCACGGAGCCUGGUGAGGGAGAUACACCUGCAAAGAGAACUUCAGUGCAGUAACAGCAACGGGCAUAGCCAGUGUGUUCACCAACUCAUGAGAGAUCACACUACCAACAUCGCCCGCUUGAUUUUCCCCAUCAACGAACAGCUUAUCCUGGAAACAAUCGUUUUAGUAGGUAUAGAAGGGAUAAGUUUGGUGUAUUCGCUGAUGCAGAAACCCAAGACCUUCAGGGUAUCGUGGAGCCUAAAUGCAAUACUGGAGUUUCAUCAUCAUGAGCUUGUAUGGAAAAUUUGAAUGGAAAUUUCUCUAGGAAAUUAGAACUCUAGUGGCCUCUUCAUCUAACUUGUAUAAUGCUUGGACAAGUAAGUGGUCACUGGAUAAUGAUAGCACAAAAGCAUAUAAACUUUUAUAAAUAUUUUAAAGGUAAAAUUUAAAGGCCAAAAAUUAUUAUAUGGAUUAUUCUAUUGCUAUCAGUUCUAUUAAGUCCAACUCUCCUCCAUCAAAUUGUGAAGAUUUGAAUCUGAUGGAGAUAUGAAGCUGUUAGCAGUUGAAUUUUC